GACAGCAGUAGCCGCGGUAAUACGAAGGGGGCUAGCGUUGCUCGGAAUUACUGGGCGUAAAGGGAGCGUAGGCGGACAUUUAAGUCAGGGGUGAAAUCCCAGAGCUCAACUCUGGAACUGCCUUUGAUACUGGGUGUCUUGAGUGUGAUAGAGGUAUGUGGAACUCCGAGUGUAGAGGUGAAAUUCGUAGAUAUUCGGAAGAACACCAGUGGCGAAGGCGACAUACUGGAUCAUUACUGACGCUGAGGCUCGAAAGCGUGGGGAGCAAACAGGAUUAGAUACCCCAGUAGUCCCUGUCUCUUAUAC
rnacentral:rRNA from 1 species